UACGUAGGGGGCAAGCGUUGUCCGGAAUCAUUGGGCGUAAAGAGCGUGUAGGCGGCCCGGUAAGUCCGCUGUGAAAGUCCAGGGCUCAACCCUGGGAUGGCGGUGGAUACUGUCGGGCUCGAGUCCGGAAGAGGAGUGUGGAAUUCCUGGUGUAGCGGUGAAAUGCGCAGAUAUCAGGAGGAACACCAAUGGCGAAAGCAGCACUCUGGGACGUGACUGACGCUGAGACGCGAAAGCGUGGGGAGCAAACAGG
rnacentral:rRNA from 1 species